UAGCCAAUGCAAAUGUAUAGGCUUUUUAUUGUUAUGCAUUAUUUGAGCAAUAGUGAAAAUGAAACUGAGAUAUCAAAUCUAUGAUUUUGCAGAUAUUGAUGUUUAGGACUACACUACACAUUAAUUACAGUGCUCAUGUUUAUAAAUUUUUAGUAACUUUGACUCCACCAUUAAAUUGGAUUAGAAAUAUAAGUUGCAGAGUUUUCUAAAGCCUGAGUUUUACUGUUUCUAUCCUUCUGGUGUCACUUAACAUGUUCCUCUGUCCAGUGUAUUUCCUGUAAGGUGUCAUUUAACAUGUUCCUCUGUCCAGUGUAUUUCCUGUAAGUUGUAGUUAGAAUUAAGAACAGCACCAUACAAUAGAAAUAUGAGCCACAAAUAUAAUUUAAAAUUUUAAAAUACACAUUUAAA
rnacentral:lncRNA from 1 species